UUGAAUCCUCAGGAUGUUGCUGGCCUUUCGGGGCAUGUGCACUCCGCCUUUCAAUACACCUGUGAACUUAUUGUAGGUGCAGAUUUUAACAAGUCUGUUGCCUAUGUUUUUAACACACUCUUAAAAAGUCUAUUGAAUGUCUAAUUGUGGCCUUUGAUGGUCAACAAACUUAAUA
rnacentral:misc_RNA from 1 species